UGAUGACAAAUCUCCGGAAUCUCUGUACUUGCCUUUGAUGAAACCCCUGAACCCUUUUGCUGAUGGCUGCUUUUAAAUGUAGAC
ensembl:snoRNA